GACGAACGCUGGCGGCGUGCUUAACACAUGCAAGUCGAACGGAAAGGCCCUGCUUUUGUGGGGUGCUCGAGUGGCGAACGGGUGAGUAACACGCGAGUAACCUGCCCUUGACUUUGGGAUAACUUCAGGAAACUGGGGCUAAUACCGGAUAGGAGCUCCUGCUGCAUGGUGGGGGUUGGAAAGUUUCGGCGGUUGGGGAUGGACUCGCGGCUUAUCAGCUUGUUGGUGGGGUAGUGGCUUACCAAGGCUUUGACGGGUAGCCGGCCUGAGAGGGUGACCGGCCACAUUGGGACUGAGAUACGGCCCAGACUGCUACGGGAGGCAGCAGUGGGGAAUAUUGCACAAUGGGCGGAAGCCUGAUGCAGCAACGCCGCGUGCGGGAUGACGGCCUUCGGGUUGUAAACCGCUUUCGCCUGUGACGAAGCGUGAGUGACGGUAAUGGGUAAAGAAGCACCGGCUAACUACGUG
rnacentral:rRNA from 1 species